CACAGAUCUCAAAGAAGUCACCGUUCUAAAGGUAGAGGAUCCAACCAGAUUGCUUACCCAAAGAAACAAAGAAGUCAUGAGAAGCUGUGGGGUCAGCUUCAGACAAGAAGUCUGGCAUAUGACAUUGAAGUGGAUUCUCAUUUUGACCUGUGAUAUUUCAAUGACUGGAUAUACAUUUGGAUGGACCUACCAUUACAGUAACAGUACCUUGCCAUGGGCCAAUGCAAGAACAUUUUGUCAAAGCAAUUACACAGACUUGGUUGCCAUUCAAAACGAGGAGGAAAUUGAACACCUUCAUAAAACCAUUCCAAAGCAGAAAACAUAUUACUGGCUUGGAAUUCGGAAGAUAAAUGACACCUGGAUAUGGAUUGGAACCAAUAAGACGUUAAACAUAUCAUUCUGGGCCGCAGGAGAACCCAACCAAAAUGUUUUAUGUGCAGAAAUCUAUAUCAAAAGAGAUACGGAAGGGGGGAAAUGGAAUGAUGAGGACUGCACAAAGGCAAAACACGCUCUUUGCUUUAAAGCGCAAUGCAAUGCAACAGCAUGCAGAGGCAGAGGGGAAUGCAUAGAAACUAUCAACAACUACAGCUGUCAGUGUGCUCCAGGGUUCAAAGGAAACCACUGCCAGGAAGUUGUUCAGUGUGAAACCCCUAAGUCACCCCAACAUGGCUGGAUGGAAUGCCAAGGUCCCCAUGGAAACAGC